AGAGAGAGACAUGCGCGCAUAUCAAUAAGCGGAGGAAAAGAAACUAACUAGGAUUCCCUCAGUAACGGCGAGUGAAGCGGGAAGAGCUCAAAUUUGAAAUCUUCAAGGUUCUACCUUGACGAAUUGUAGUUUAAAGAAGUGUUUUCUGUUGGAGUUUUGGUAAAAGUUCUUUGGAAUAGGACAUCAUAGAGGGUGAGAAUCCCGUAUUUGACCUUUACUUUCAACUUUGUGAUACACUUUCAAAGAGUCGGAUUGUUUGGAAAUGCAGUCCAAAAUGGGUGGUAAAUUUCAUCUAAAGCUAAAUAUUGGCGAGAGACCGAUAGCGAACAAGUACCGUGAGGGAAAGAUGAAAAGAACUUUGAAAAGAGAGUUAAACAGUACGUGAAAUUGUCAAAAGGGAAGCGUUUGACACCAGUGUUGUUUUCUCGAAAAUCAAUUAAAAAAGGCAGGAUUUUGUGUUGUAUUGACUUUAUCAGCUUUCUGCACUCUUUUCUUGUCUUUUUUAAUGCACCUUUCGUUUAACAAGUCAACAUCAAUUUCUUUUGUUGUAAAAGGGUCAUUGGAAGGUGGCUUUCUUUUCGGAGAAAGUGUUUAUAGCCUUUGGCCUCUGCAAUCGGAGAGAUUGAGGUCUGCAGCGUAGAUCCUUCGGGGUUAGAUACAUUUGUGCUAAGUUAUAGCCUUUCAUAGACAACUUGUUGACUAUGAUCAGUCAUGUAGCUUACUCGCUUAUGCUAUUUUACCUACGCUUAGGAUGUUGAUGUGAUACUGCGAGC
rnacentral:rRNA from 1 species